rnacentral:rRNA from 1 species
AGCGAAUCGCUAAAAGACCGUCCCAGUUCGGAUUGCAGGCUGCAACCCGCCUGCAUGAAGUUGGAAUCGCUAGUAAUCGCGGAUCAGCAUGCCGCGGUGAAUACGUUCCCGGGCCUUGUACACACCGCCCGUCACACCAUGAGAGUCAGCAACACCCGAAGCCUGUGAGCUAACGCAAGAGGCAGCAGUCGAAGGCGGGGUUGGUGAUUGGGGUGAAGUCGUAACAAGGUAUC